AAGAAAUGGUCCCAAUCUUGGGAAGAAAAUAUCAUACAAUUAAGCAUCAACAUGCAGAAAUUCAUCAAAAAUUGAUACAACAACAAGAUGCUCUGAAACAUGCUGAGGCUGCUGCCGCAAGAGCACGGAUGAAAAGCAGAAUCGAAGAAGAAACAAAGAAAAAUGAUCAUGAGGACACUCUACCAACAACUCAG